UCGGAAUGUUCGGAUUCCAGUCGGACGGUUUGUGCUUCCCGCCGUGGAAGGUUCUGAGUGCGGUCACUUGAUUUAGUCCCAAUGGUUAGCAUAGAACGUUGUAGUCUUGACAACCAUAAGAAACCACCUGGCAGUUAGUUUGACGGGAGUCCCCUGAGGGAAUCUGGCGGAACGUUCUUGAUUGUAUUGAGUAACCUCGAGGCGUUGCCAAUGGAAACUACUUUUCAGUCGGUUUCCAUUGGGAAUUGUUGCCCCUAUCUUAAACAACUAAAGUUUGAUAAUAAAUACAUACUGAGACGUACGUCGUACAAUAUGUUGAUAAUUUCCGAUGGUUGCGCCGUACUUUUAACCACGAUGACCUUGCGGGACUCUCACUGCGUACAAAACUGAGUUCUACUUGCGGGCCCACUUUUGACGGGCUGAAGGCUGAAAAUCAUUUCAAGGUGGAAGAUAAUUUGACAUUUCUUCAACGGAACCCAGCUCCUGAAUAUGGCAGAGUACGUUUGAUUUAAUAUCGAUACUGCUUAGUGUUCUUUGUUACUUCAGCUUUUGUACGUUCUAAAUAUCGGCUGUCAAUUGCCACAGAAGUUAAACCCUACCCAAUGGAAUGACGUUAAACAACCACUUUGGUGCAGAGUUACCAACUGGAUAAUAUCAAAGCUAAAAUAAUGGCCGUCAUUCCCACAUGUUACAGUAGAAGAUACUCUAGAACUGUACAAGGUAAAAAAAGGUAACAUGUAGUUUGUCCCAAGGUGUCCGCCUCCUCACCCAGAGCCAGACCUCCACCUCCUCACCCAGAGCCAGACCUCCACCUCCUCACCCAGAGCCAGACCUCCACCUCCUCACCCAGAGCCAGACCUCUACCUCCUGUCAGAAGUCCUCCAGAACAGCUGAAAGGCGAGGCUGAGAGGCUGGGGACCGGAGGCUUGUGGUGCCAGGGUGGACCGGAGACUGAGGCUGGAGACCAGGGGCCUGCAGCACCGGACCAGAGGUAACCAUCACCAAGCUCAUCUGAAACACUAAAAUCCACGGUAGUUUAGGUCUGGUUUUGAUCAUCUUAUGACUUUAAAUCUGUGCCAAGCUGUGAGUUAAUUCAUACGGGGGUUACGCAAGAGUCAUAUGAGCCAUUAAUGUUACUAGUGCUGCUACGACCGUAGUGGAUGAAUUGCUGAACGCGACAAACUGCAGACGUUGUCUAAUUUAAGUGUUUAAAUUUGUCUUCCAUUUUACAAGUGAACCUCAGAUGCAGGAGGUGGGGUGUGUUGCGUCCCCAGAUGAUUUAGUGCUGAGACCAACUGUGUUUGAAACCAGACCAGGAUUCCAUGGCUGAAGGAGCUGAUGGAGGAGCCGUGCUGAAGGAGCUGAUGGAGGAGCCGUGCUGAAGGAGCUGAUGGAGGAGCCGUGCGGAAGGAGCUGAUGGAGGAGCCGUGCGGAAGGAGCUGAUGGAGGAGUCGUGAAGGCCCUGCCUGGUGGAGGACGUCUGUCGUGGGGUAGAUGGAGCUUGACUCUGAAGUGAUCAUCACACUCACUGCCACUUCUCGUAGAAUACUGCUACCACAAACUACCGGCGUUUGUACCAUAUAUACCAGACGACUACAUCUGUUUUACCACAUGUUGAAGCAAGACUUCCGCUGUUUGUUCCAGACCAGGACUCUGUCUGAGGAGAGCUGCUGGAGGAGCUGAGACGCUGGAGGACGACUAGGAAUCGACCAACAAGGAUUCCUCCUAAAACGUGUUUCUGGAGCGGAGGUGAGCUGGUAGGGGAGCCGUGAAUCUGGAGGAUGACCAUCACUCUACCAACAAGGGUUGUAAGUUUGUAUUAACCAAACAAACUGGAAAUAAAGGGCUUAAAAAUAAGACAAACUACACGUUUGUUACCAGACUUUAGGGCCAGACUCGCGCUGUUUGUUCCAGACCAGGACUCUGGCGGAGGAGAGCUGAUGGAGGAACCAAGACUCUGGAGGACGACAUCACUCCACCAACCAGGAUCCUCAGACAAAUUACGUUUGUAACCAGACCAGGAAUCUGGAGGACUGAUGGAGAAGCAUACAUCUGGAUGGCAAAUCCUGAGGACAACCAGGACUCUACCAUCAAGGAUUCCUCAUAAAUGUGCAUUAUCUGGACAUAGUGGACUAGACACAGCUGAACCUCACCUGAUCCUGUUUGGUCGGGGGUAGACACACCUGAGCUAAACCCGACCUGAUCCUGACAUCCUGCUGGUCCCGUCUCCUCAGUUCAUCUGAGCCUCGUCCUCCAGAAGACCUGCUGAGCUCAGCAGUCUGAGGCUGAUGGAUCAAUGACCUCCAGUGGGAGUGAUCUUCUUGACCCCCCACCUGACCGUGUGCUUCCACACGCCUUUCCCUCACGUCUGUCACUAACCUCACUACUUCACUACUCUCUACUGCUUCCUCUUUUCUUCCUUCUCUGUGGUUCGAACCUUUACACGGAAGGCGCGUCUUCCUGCCCUCAGAGGGUUUAGCGUUAGGGUUGAGAGUCAGGGUUUAGAGUCAGGGACAGAGCUGGUCAGGGAGGACUGCUUUUACAAAAACCUCUUCACUUACUUUCGGAAUGGUGGUGACAUUUUGAAAAGAUUCAUUUGGGAAAAUGUUUUCCUCUGCUUUCUUUUACAAAAUUGUAUCAAACUUAUGUCAAGUGUCUUUGUUUAUAUAUUAAAAUCCCACAUUGACUUCUACAUGUUUGUUGCGGUUCAUUUAAUUUUCCUUUAACUUGGUUAAUGUCAAGCUAAACUCCCGCAAUACAUUUAAUAUACAUGAUUGUUAUUCUGCAAUGUUCACAUAAUCCAUUUUGUAAAAAUAUGAAACCUCAAUAUUACUACUAAAUUCGAGCCUAUUAAUGUAUUUAACAAUGUACAUACUGCCCCGCAGGCCAUUCUCUGCUACUACGACACGUUCAAUCCACCAACCCGUCUCACAUCAAUGUACUAUAGCUACGUUGGUUCAAACGGAAAAUGUAGUUUGGUGUGAGACUGUUGUCCAGCAGAGGGAGCUGUUAUACACCUUAAUUAUACAGAAAUGUCUGUAUUUACAUUUUAAAAUGUUCAUGGGCUGGUCUAGUUUGUCUGCAAAUAAC